CUUGCAAAUAUCAUUAAUAGGUUAACAUACCCUUCUGAACAUGUCAGCCUCUCUGUCAUUUUAAGAUGGAGCAGCAUCUGUCUCCAAAUCUCUUCUCUCUCCAUUAUCAUUUAAAAGUACACCUAUUUAUACCUUAGGUGUCAUCAUUUUAGGGUUACCGUUGUUCAAAUAUGCAAAAGUAACACUUCUUUUACUUUAUUCCUUUUAGGACCUCCCUUAAUUUGGCAAACAUACAAGGCCAUAACUAAAGGGUGCAAACGUCAUGGAAAUUUUCCUGACUUAGUUCAAGAUGGCAUCUUAAAGUCUGAACAUCCUUAUCUACUAAGGUUACCACAGUAUAUUGUGUACUGCAAGAGUCGUAGUAUAGCCUUGAAGCUUGUUUAUGCAUUAUUGUUAUUGUAAUUCGUCUGGGACAAAAUGGCGCAAACAUAUUAUGCACUGAGGUUAUUGCUUAAAGAAACAGUUAUGAAAAACAAUAUGUUCCAUUUCUAACACCUUGUCAGUUUGCAAUAUCUCUUAAAGACAAAGUACACAGUUUAAGAAAUACAACAUUUCAUUCUAAAACUUGUAAUAUUUGCAUUUGCCCAUAACAAGGCAGUCCUUGGUUCAAAAAUAGGCAUAAUGGAACCACAGCAACGUUUCGACCUUCUUGGUCUUUAUCAUUUAAAUAUCCUGUCUGUUUUUGCCUUUUCCACACCUAUAUCUCAGGCAAGUAUUUCCAAGUAUAUAUUGAUAGCUGACCCAUAUUACUCCUGGCCUCUGCCAUCGUAAGCACUUGGCAGUCUUAGGUGCCACAAACUACCAUCAUUAUUAUGCUCUUGUGCAUGCGCAAGGAAACAAAAUGAGGGUUUAUGGAAUAUCUCAUGAGCCUGCGCUUGUGCAGUGAGAUGCCAUAGGUAACGAUUUCACAUUGCACAAGGUGCCAAUCAUCCAUUUCUACGUGAGAUAAAGCGUCCUCCUUGGAUUUUGUCUAUUGUGUUUUUUUGACUGAGUUGGAAAUUCAGAGGCGGGUCUGUGUUGCAUAGCAACACUGGAGCUAAAUAGAUUUAGGACAAGAGUGACCAGGGAAUACAUUCCAGCUGUAUCAGAACUACAACUCUCUUCAUGCAUUACCAGCUGUAAGGCUGGCAAAGCAUCCUGGGAGAUGUAGUUUUGUUACCUUUAGAAAUCUAUGUCCCUAAAUAGCAACUAAUCACCCCUGUUUUAGUGCAGUUGUAUUUCACUGUAAAUGCAAACCUGGGAAAAAUGGAUUAUCAUAUAACAAAAUAAGCAACUUCCAAACACAGCCUGUGGACCUAUCUGCCAUCACAAUAAGUAACAUGCUACCUGUGACUAGAGCAGCUGCCAGUAGCUCCAUGUUAAACUGGCUAACAGUCCGAUAGUCUCCAUAUAAAUGCAACACUCCGGGACUAGUUUCCACCUGGCGGAAGGAUAACAUGGACACCAUAGUCCGGCUCUCCUGCGCUCCCAAGUUAUGUGGACUCACCCCCUUGAUACAAGUGUCGCUUUGUGACCUAAGACGCCCCAUCCACUUUUGUUUGUGGCUCUGUGAUGUCAUUAGCGCUUGGCUGUAGUAGCUGGAAGCCGCUCUGGCUGCACUGUGUGCGGAUCCUGCAGGGCUCCAGGAGGGUGGUAUUAGGUGUCUGGUACCAGGUACAAACCAAAGAAAAGUUACCUGUGUGCUAUCCCAAAUCCCUAUGCAUACUUAAACAAAUGGAGGUUUCUUGUUUCACUUAGAUGUAAGCACACCUGCCACAUCAAGACAAACCUAUUAGGUGGGUCCUACACUAACAUUCACCUUGGUACCUUCAGCGAAAAAAAUCUCUGAGACAGAGAGGGGUAUUUUUUAUACACAUCCCUACAUGCUUAUUAAACCUUAAUAGGGAACACAUGGAAUGGGCAGCAGCAUUGUAACAUAGCUGUGUGAUACAAACUGAAUACAAAUACACAAAAAUAAGUCCUGCGCUCAGACUCACUACUCCUAGGCAGCAGCAAUGACCAUAGUUCACAUCAGCCCCAAUACAUACAAUAAAACCAAAGAAAAGAGUUGUCUGCGCACUAGCCCAAAUCCCUAUGCAUAUUUAAACACGUCCAGGGUUGUUCACUAAACUCACAAGUUAAAUACAAAUGGACAACUGAACUAAAAUUUUGUGAGAUCUGAACAGGAGAAUUUUUUCAUAGCAACUUUUGUUUCGUCUCAGUAUUCCAUAUAGAUUUAAUUCAAUAAUAUUUGAGUUUUAGUGAAUAAGCGUGUCGAUGUCAAGUGCCUCAGUCUGAAAUAAUUUUGUGUCAGGACAGGUAGACUGGGCUACUGCUUUGUUUUUAGACUUCCACACCUUUAGAUAUAAUGUGAGCCAUUUUUAGCUUGAUGUAUUACACUAUAGUAACCUGACAUGCUAUAUCUUGCGCAGUGGGUAAUUGCCACUAUAUGAGAAUACAAUGUAUAGUGCCAUCUUUUGUUUCUCCAUAAAUAUAAAUUCCGCGGAGGAACAAAUGCAAAAAUAUGACCAAGCGACUCAGAGCCCAUUAUGUCUUGUCAGGUCAAAACAACGCUCGACUCUGCAGACCCUUCUGCCACCACUGGGAAUAGACACACACACUCAAAUGGCUCACAAGGAAUUUGAAAGUUCCCAGCCUGAGAUUGCAAGACAUGAGGCAGACUAAGAGAACAAAACAUGGGUGCCAUUAGUUUAAUCUUGUUCCACGUAGACGAAGCAUGAAAUGGCUGUAUUGGCAUUUCCAAAAUGGAUUUCUUUCAUUCUGUUUUAUGAUUAUAUGAAGAUCAAAUGUAAAAAAUUCAAUUACAAUAAAUAACAAAAAUACAUUUUAUAGCGUUAAAGGGACACUUACAUGGUUUUCCAUUGGACUCCGAGACUUCUAGCUCUUCUGCUGCCAUGCUUCCGGCUUCUACAGAGCUGCAGAUCCAGUCGCCAUUCAUUAUCUAGGAGUGUCAGGUGAUCGUUGUCUUCUUCUAGGCUUGCUAAUGACACUGGUGGAGGUGGAGGGGGUUAAGCUCCAUGUAUGCAGCUUUUCAAAGUGAAAUGCUGUGCAUAGACACUCCAGGCAUCAUGACCACUUCGUAUCACUUAAAUGCUCAUAGUGUCUGGAUUAUAGUUAAUCCAGCACGCAGAAUUGUAUCACACCUAAAUACUAAGGAUAACGUCUAACCAUACCUUAGAAUGGCCGGACUCAACGUACCUGAGAAUAGUCAAAAUAUUUGCCGAUGGUCAGGGACACAGAAUGAGACGCAACGAUGAGGAAAGCAGGUCAAGUCAAGGAUAACAGAAGUCAGGAAAGUCAAACAACAGAAAAAACACGAUCAGGAACACACUCUCAGAUAACCAGCUAGUGGAAACCACGAUAGGGCACUGGCAAAAAGGUAAUUUGGGUUUAAAUAACCCUCUAUAGGCUGUAAUAAGCUGUCUGUGAUCUCUCACCCCAAAACGUGCAUGCAUGUCUAUUAUUUAAUGUUGCAUGCACGUUGGCACUAUCUUUAAUGUGGGCAAAGGUAAGUUUAUUAUACAAUCCUGAUCCGCAGCGGCCGGCGUUCCUAAGAACGUCGUACCCGCUGGGGACGGGAACGAAGAGAGACAGGGCAGCUGCCUGCCAUGACCAAGGUAAGUUUGAAACCUUUCUGUCAGUGUGGCUGCCUAGAAAAUGUGCAGCCACGCCGACAGAAGAGCCAAGAGCCGUGACACAUGGUGCUUGGAGUAACCCUUUAAAUGUCUGAAUGUCCUGCAAAAUUAAAGGCUGUGCAGUAAUUGCGAUGCGCUCUCAUUACUCCAAGAAGUGACUGAUACUAAACUUUAACACUGUGGAACUCUUUAUAUUAGAAGAGUGUGUCCUCUUAUUAUUAUUUAAUUUUGCAAAAAGUGCAGAUUUUUUUAAUUAAAACUGGCACUUUUAUAAAUUAACCAGGUUGCUCCCUGCUAUUUUAACUUGUAAAAUCCUGACAGGCGGAGGAGAGGGAGUCUGAUCAGUGUGAUCAUACAGAGUAGGCUACGGUGUCAGUUUUCUCUUGCUGCUGCACAAUGAUAACCCUGUUUCUGUCAUUAUUAUUAUUAUUAUUAUCAUUUAUAUAGCGCCAACAGAUUCCGUAGCGCUUUACAAUAUCAUUAGUGGACUGAUCUGAAACUGAGAUGAGUGGGUAAGGGAUGGGGGUGAAUAAACUCCCCUUGAUGAGAGGUGUGCCCAACAAUGCAAUCUGACCAAGUUCAUAAUAAGUUUAUGAACAGUUAAUAAAUACUUCAAAGUUCAAAGUUUCUUGCUUUCAUUUGGUUUCCAUAUUUGUAAAAGGAGCUUGCUGGUUUCAUCACCUAAGCAGCACACGAAUGCCUAUGCCAUCAUGCUUUGAAGGGCUUUAAUGCCCGUUGACAGGAAAGACUGUCAUGCAGUAAAGGUGUCUUUCGAUACCUGGGAGUCCCCUCUUUCAGCUGCGACACUGACUCCAGACUAACAGAUGAGCUAGGUGCAGCACUGAAAGUUAGCGCUGUGCAUAGCCAUUGAAAUGCUCCUCCCCUGUCAUGGAGACUCCCAGGGUCUUAAUUUAGACUCAAGCAUGCUGGCAAAUGAAGCCAGUGUGUCGACAUCACAGAGGAAGCAGCAGGCAGAGUGUUGGUGGGCUGGAAGUAGGUGUUACAUGAAGAUUAACACCCACGAAGCUCAGGACUUGGCGGCGCUGGAAUGAAAGUUGGGUGAGUAAAUCUUAAUAUGUUAUAUUGAAUACAGCAUGUAUCUCUAUCAUAUGGUGCAUUCAGUCUAAAGCUGACAUUUUUCACAGCCGGUUCACUUUAACACUAUCCUUGGUUAAACUUGCAUGCUAAAUUAAAUUUUUGUUUCAUAUUUUAUUUUCAAAAGCAGAGCAUUGCCAGGAGUUUAAGGAACGUAUAAGGUCAAAUAAUAGACAUACUAUAACUUUGACGUGUCUGUUUACCAAAUGGUAUCCCUAAUAAGUAAGCACAGUGACACUAUGUCACCUUACUUAAAGGACCACUAUAGGCACCCAGACAACUCAAUUAAGUUGUCUGGGUGCCCGCUCCCUCUAGUUUUAACCCUGCAGCUGAAAACAUGGCAGUUUCAGAGAAACUGCUAUGUUUACACCAGGGUUAAUCCAGCCUCUAGUGAAAAUCACAGUGAGAAGACGCUGAUGUCCAUAGGAAAGCAUUGAGUAAUGCGUUCCUAUGGGCUGUUUAAAUGUGCGCGUGGCUCUGGCCGCGCAUGUGCAUUAGGCUCCACACAGGAGCCAACGUUGGAUGGGGAGGAGAAGUCACUAGUGCAGAGGGAGCCUGGCGUAUGAGGAAGGUAAGUGGCUGAAGGGAUUUUAACCCCUUCAGCCCAGCAGGAGGGGGGCCAUGAGGGUGGGGUGGACCUAAUGACCCUAUAGUGCCAGGAAAAAGAGUUUGUUUUCCUGGCACUAUAGUGGUCCUUUAACAGUGUCAAACAUUGGUGCUAUUUCUAACCCCAUCCCCGAACCCUUGCUCUGAUUUUGACACAAUGUACAACAUUUUGUGAGCACUCUGUACUGUGUGAUUACAGCAUAUGAAGGAUAUCUCCCGCUGCUUGCAAUUCAUCCCGAUCAGUCAUUGGUGCUCGGCAGCAGGCAGGCAGGCAUUCAGGGAGAACCUGUUAGACUCUUGUAAGUAUUGUUAGACCUAGUGGGUGUUCUUUUGAGUUGAGCAAGAUUGUAAUCCAUGGAAAUCCCUGCAGCUAAACACUUUUGUACAGCUACAAGGAUUUAAAGAAUGGCAUAGCACCCCCCCGCUGUCAUUAAAGGCACACCCUUCAGCUCAUUGUAGUGGUCUGGGUGUAGUGUCCCAG